CACAUAUUACACAUAUUGAAGAUAGCGGCGGGAGCACAUCACCUCUUACCUGGCCAGUAGUACACCACUCUCUUGACAAGUUAAAAGUCAUCAGAGAAGUUCGUCAGUUCUCCAUAACAUGGUGCUUGAGUGGAUGGUGAAGAUGCCAGGAUGGGAGGGCAUUGUUCUCUUGGGGCUCUUCCUCUUCCUCCUGCUCCUCUCAGCCGCUCCAGGAAGACGACCUCCAAAUUUUCCUCCAGGUUUGCCAAUGUUGCCAAUAGUGGGCUCCCUUUUCACAUGCAAG